GAUGAACAGAGGUCCCAUCUGCUUUCUUCAGGUGGAUGCUGAGGAUAACAAGCCUUGUGGAUAGGAGGAAAACAUGAGAUGUGGUAUAUCUUGACUUUAAAAUACCUAUAAGGAGAAAUCUGCAGAGCUGAAAGGACCUCAGGAACAGGAAUUUGCUGGGCAUGGCAGGGAGCACUCUCUAGACAGCCCCUGGAUAAAAUUCUGCCAGCAAACUGAAGGGAGAGUUAGGUUUAUUUCCUUGCCUCAAAGACAAUCACUUCCUUUCUGGAUAUACUGUUCAACCACUUUGGAAGAGACUAUUUAUCCCUGUAAUGGGGGA